UUGAACGCUGGCGGUAGGCUUAACACAUGCAAGUCGUGCGAGAAAGUAUCUUCGGAUAUGAGUAGAGCGGCGGACGGGUGAGUAACGCGUAGGAAUCUACCUAGUAGAAGGGGAUAGCCCGGGGAAACCCGGAUUAAUACCGUAUACCUCCUUCGGGAGAAAGAAGGCCUCUCUUUGAAGCUUUCGCUACUAGAUGAGCCUGCGUAAGAUUAGCUUGUUGGUGAGGUAAAGGCUCACCAAGGCGACGAUCUUUAGCUGGUCUGAGAGGACGAUCAGCCACAUUGGGACUGAGACACGGCCCAGACUCCUACGGGAGGCAGCAGUGGGGAAUAUUGG
rnacentral:rRNA from 1 species